rnacentral:rRNA from 1 species
UACGAAGGGGGCUAGCGUUACUCGGAAUCACUGGGCGUAAAGCGCACGUAGGCGGCUUGUUAAGUCAGGGGUGAAAUCCUGGAGCUCAACUCCAGAACUGCCUUUGAUACUGGCGAGCUUGAGUUCGGGAGAGGUGAGUGGAACUGCGAGUGUAGAGGUGAAAUUCGUAGAUAUUCGCAAGAACACCAGUGGCGAAGGCGGCUCACUGGCCCGAUACUGACGCUGAGGUGCGAAAGCGUGGGGAGCAAACAGG